rnacentral:lncRNA from 1 species
GGAGUGAGUGGAUGGGUCCGGGGUACUGUCCCACCUUGAGGGGGGCUUGGCGGUUGCCGUGGCAGCCCUGUCUCACUAACCGGUGAGUGGAUUGCCUGAGCCCAGGAGUUCGAGACCAGCCUGGACAACAUAGUGAAACCCCGUCUCUACAAAAAAAACACAAAAAUUAGCUGGGCAUAGAGGCGUGCGCCUCUAGUCUGAGAAACUCAGGAGGCUGAGACCGGAGGAUUGCUUGAGCCCGGAAGGUGGGAGGUUGGAGGUAGGAGGUUGGAGAUUGGAGGUUGAGGCUGAGGCUGAGGUGAGCCAUGAUUGCUCCACUUUGAUAGCUCCACUGCACUCUAGCCUGGGGGACAGAGUGAGACCCUGUCUCAAAGAAAAAAUAAAUCUGGAAUUUGGGUGCCUCCCUCUCCUACUUCUGCAAUAAUCAUUCAAAUAAAUCCCUUCCUUCUGUUUGUGUGUCUGCAGGAUAUAUUUAAAGAGUCAGGGAGACAAACAAGCGAGGCCCGGAGAGAACCCAUGUGUGGGAGAGUGAAGGCAGGUGAGGGAGAGGGGAACAGGGCUUGUUUGUGCAUGGCAUUCUGCUGUUUCUGUAACCUCCAACUGGAAAAUGAUCCAGGAAGGAAGAGAGACAUAUUCCAGACUUCCCCGCCCAUGAGAUGCUGUUCUGAGAGGUUUUUGCAGAGGAUGGGAAAUGUGGAAUGCUCAGCAUCCAUUUCUCCUGCUGGGAUCUAUGGAGGCCAGACCUUACCUUCAUA